AAACUUGCGCAGUGGCAGUGGCGAUAUCGUAACCAAUGAGGUUCAACCGAGGUGCGAUUAUUGCUAGUUGAAAACUAAUUCCCUUUUUUUAUAAAUGAAAUUAUGUGAUACAAAAUAAACUAGUGAAAAGGACUAAGACA